UACAGAGGUCUCAACCGUUGUUCGGAUUCAUUGGGCGUAAAGGGUGCGUAGGCGGUCGCGCAAGUCGGAUGUGAAAUCUCGGGGCUCAACCCCGAAACUGCAUUCGAUACUGCGUGGCUAGAGUGCUGGAGGGGAGACUGGAAUUUACGGUGUAGCAGUGAAAUGCGUAGAUAUCGUAAGGAAGACCAGUGGCGAAGGCGGAUCUCUGGACAGUUCCUGACGCUGAGGCGCGAAGGCCAGGGGAGCAAACGGG
rnacentral:rRNA from 1 species